AUUCUGUAGCAAGGUUAACCGUAUAGGGGAGCCGCAGGGAAACCGAGUCUUAACUGGGCGUUAAGUUGCAGGGUAUAGACCCGAAACCCGGUGAUCUAGCCAUGGGCAGGUUGAAGGUUGGGUAACACUAACUGGAGGACCGAACCGACUAAUGUUGAAAAAUUAGCGGAUGACUUGUGGCUGGGGGUGAAAGGCCAAUCAAACCGGGAGAUAGCUGGUUCUCCCCGAAAGCUAUUUAGGUAGCGCCUCGUGAACUCAUCUUCGGGGGUAGAGCACUGUUUCGGCUAGGGGGUCAUCCCGACUUACCAACCCGAUGCAAACUACGAAUACCGAAGAAUGUUAUCACGGGAGACACACGGCGGGUGCUAACGUCCGUCGUGAAGAGGGAAACAACCCAGACCGCCAGCUAAGGUCCCAAAGUCAUGGUUAAGUGGGAAACGAUGUGGGAAGGCACAGACAGCCAGGAUGUUGGCUUAGAAGCAGCCAUCAUUUAAAGAAAGCGUAAUAGCUCACUGGUCGAGUCGGCCUGCGCGGAAGAUGUAACGGGGCUAAACCAUGCACCGAAGCUGCGGCAGCGACACUAUGUGUUGUUGGGUAGGGGAGCGUUCUGUAAGCCUGCGAAGGUGUGCUGUGAGGCAUGCUGGAGGUAUCAGAAGUGCGAAUGCUGACAUAAGUAACGAUAAAGCGGGUGAAAAGCCCGCUCGCCGGAAGACCAAGGGUUCCUGUCCAACGUUAAUCGGGGCAGGGUGAGUCGACCCCUAAGGCGAGGCCGAAAG
rnacentral:rRNA from 1 species